AACUCGGGCGUCUGAGAAAGGAAUUCUCUUUUUGAGGCAGGCUUUAUCAGGUUUGCAUAGCAUCUACUCUUCAGACCUCAGAUUAGACUUCCCAGGAGCCCCUUAAGGACCCUUCACGGUCUCCCUUUGUGUCUUUUAAGUCCCACAAGUCUCAGAACUAAGUCCAGGACAGCUAUCAAUGAUGCAAGCUUCAUUGUGUUAUCUGAAUCUGUACAGAUGUGGGCCGUUGUGUGCACCCGUUAGUCAUCCUGUCAACUCUCCCUUGAGGUUACCUCUGAUAAGAGGUUAGAAUUUCGUCUCAGCCCAAUGAAUGACCUUCGCCCGGCCCUCUUUUUCGGGGUCCUCAAGUCUUCGCUUCUGUGGAAUGGGUUGGGGGCUUUUCUGACACAAGGAUAUGUACUGCCUUACCCUAGGCGGAACUCGGAAAUCCUGAUUCCCCUGAUAACCACCCGACCUAAGAGUUGAGCCUUGGGGUCCGGUGCAGGCCGAUCUGUAGCCACCUUGCGGCCCGAAACUGGUGUGGAGAGGGAGGAGCUAGGUAAAGAAGAGUCGGCGCGCGCUAUAGCUCUAGUGGAAGGCAAGGGAGGGAGGGAGGGAGGAGGAGAAUGGGGGCGGGGCCUACAGCGGAAGUGAGGUCACUUCCGGGCUGGGUGUUUGUUUGGGACUGGGGAAGGGAGGCGGCGGGUGAAGCGCACGUAGAGCGGGGGGAGCGGCGCUGCCUGUGGAGAUCCGCUGAGGCCGACAGGACUCGCUGGCUGCCGUCCCCGCUGCCGUGCACUGGGUUACAAAAACAACUAACAUACAACCAUGAAAGAUCCAAGUCGCAGCAGUACUAGCCCAAGCAUCAUCAAUGAAGAUGUGAUUAUUAAUGGUCAUUCUCAUGAAGAUGAUAAUCCAUUUGCUGAGUACAUGUGGAUGGAAAAUGAAGAGGAAUUCAACAGACAGAUUGAAGAGGAGUUGUGGGAAGAAGAAUUUAUUGAACGCUGUUUCCAGGAAAUGCUGGAAGAAGAAGAAGAACAUGAGUGGUUCAUUCCAGCUCGAGACCUCCCACAAACUAUGGACCAAAUCCAGGACCAGUUUAAUGACCUUGUCAUCAGUGACAGUUCUUCUCUGGAGGAUCUUGUGAAGUAGUUCUUUUGGCCAAAAUUGUUGUGGUGCUUUCUCCAAAGCUUGAGAUUCAGUGAUGGAUUAUAUUGGUUUGAACUGCUUCAGCCCCAACAUGGAAUAAAAAUUGAGGUCUCCUUGAUGCUAGUCUCAUAUUAAACAUUUAUUUAUUCCUGGUCUGAGUCACUUAAUCUCCCUGUCUCAUUUCCCUUUCUAGGAGGUCUAAAUGACUUUAAAGAUUUGCUUUAUUUAUAUUAUCUUUAAAGGGAGGGCCAUGAUGAUUAUUAGUUGGUUGAGAACAAGUUUAUGUAAAUUUAAGAAAUUAAAUUCUGGUUCUAAGUAUUUGUACACCCAUUCAGUCAUUUUAGCAUCAAUGAUAUUUUUAUAACCUAAAGUUUUUGAUUCAAAUACUCCAACUCAUUAUUUUUGGUUUUAGAUUUGAGUUUAAUAAUCUCUUAGCAAAAAUUAAUUGCACAAAUGUUUUUAAAUUGUCUUUCAUUUUUCAUUGUUGACAGCUAUUAAUAUACAGGAUUCGUAUUUGCAAUAAUAGAAACACCCAGAAUUCUAAUAAAAACUAAAUAACAUCAUUUAGUAUGGGGCCCAUCAAGUCUUUAUUUGAUUAAAUUCAGUUUCAGAUUAAGAUAACUAAUAAGGCUAAAAUCAAACUAGGAAACCUAGUGAGGACUGAAUGCCAGCUUUUCUAUCCUAUUUACAACCCCUAGCCACUCUGGAAUUCACUCCCAGUCUCUGAAACAUCAUAUGCAGCUGUUGCUUGGUCACUGAGCUUGAGUACUAUUCCGAAGGGCUACUAGAGAACAUUGAAAUUUACGGUGUCAAGAGUAAUCUGAAUCCAAAUGCAAAGGAGUUUGUUCCUGGGGUGAAGUACUAAAUAUUUGAGUAGACGGGGCCCUCUUUUGGUGGAUGUAGCACAAUUUCCACACUGUGAAGGCAGUAUUAGAAGACUUAAUUGUAAAAGCUCUCCCUUCUUGUCACUGUGUUACACUUAUGCAUUGCCAAAGUUUUGUUAGUCUUGCAUGCUUAAUAAAAGUGCUGAGACUGUUAUUAAGUAAAAAGCUGUCAAACGUUUACUGAAAGUAAUUGGACCUUGGCUUGAUGUGAAGGACAGUGAGGAAAGAAGCACCAGUCAAGUUGUGACAAAUCAGACAACCUCUGAAAGAGAUUUAGAAAUUUGACUAAAUGAUUUGUUUUAAUUGAGACUAAACUGGUCACUUGGUGUUAACCAACACCUGUUAAUGCCUUAACUUAAAAAAAAAAAAAGUCAAUUUUGAAAGUAAAGUUCUAAUUGUUAUACAAAUUACUUCGUUCAGACUUCAGUAUUGUUAAAGUAUUGUAUUUGUCCCCGUGGAGAGAAACUUAUACUUCAAGAAUAGACUUGGUAAUGAAAGAGCUCCACGCAAGCCAGCUGGUCUCGAAUGGCUUAUGAAGUUACAGAGUAACAAAUGGAUGGAAACUACCCCCUGAUUUUUACAUUAUGUUAUCAUGUUAGAAAUGUUGAAACCCACUCCUAAUUAUACAUCCAAGGAGGAGUGUAAUUUGAAAAUUACGUCAUCUUCCAAGUUCCCCAGUACUUCAUAGCUGUGUCUAUGUAAAUUUUAGCAUAUAACACUUAGUCAAAUUGAACCAAGGAAGUCUUAGCAUUCUGAUUUGAGUGGUGCUUUUCCCUUGCUUUGUUAAUCAUCACUACACAAUAGUCUACAGCACAACAACUUUUCUUUUAACAAAGCUAGAACAGUUUUGGCUUCUUAAACUUCAUAUUUGGGUAGGUUAAGCUGCCAUACGUGUUCAGUGUGAAUAGUGUUUAAGUUGAAAAUAUUGUAAAAAAAUUAUAUUUUUUCAAAAAUAUUUAAAAAAAUAAAUAAUAGUAGAACUGA